GAUGCAAUUUUCUAGUACCUUCCUUCCCAGCCCGCACCGCAACGGUAAAAAAUUCCCCUUCUCUCCUCGUCUCGCCCUCCUCGACAGAUCAUUCACCAUCAUUUCGCCCCGAGCCAGCCGCCCGCCGGCCCCUAGGAAUCGAAGAUGCCGUACGCCUACCCGCCGGCGCCGAGGUCGACCUCCUCCCCUGAUCUUCGCCAAGCGCCCGCCGUUCUCGUCGGCGUUGCUGGCCUCUCGUCCUCCUCGGUACUUGGUACCUCUCAUUGGAGCGCCGCCUGACUACCGGCGGUCGGCACCCGUAGCCCGUCGUCAAGCCCCGCCCCACCCGGCGCGCUCCAUCUGGAGGCUGGCUUCUCUUGAUGAACUAAACCAGACUAGGAAGCUCCUCCGCCACUCGGGGUCGCACCUCGCCUAGCGUUUGUUUCAUGGAGGCGAGCCGAGGUGCAUCCGCCAUGGCCACGGCGUGGUGCAGGGUAUGGUGGCCACGGGGGAGGCUGCAGCCCGUGCCGCCCGCAAGGUUCGUACUGUUCGGAUGGCUCUUCGCCCGCACGAGCUCCGUUGACGUUUUGGUCGCGACGGCCCUCCCGCAGGAGGAAAUCUUGCUGUCGUUCCCCACCCUAGAAGCACUCCAGCACAAGAUUCUGGCUUGUCCGUUUGUCAUAGUGUUGGUUCACAUGGAGCUUAUGGAUUUUAUUGUUGGUUGCAGCGCAAUUUACUCACAAUUAUUGGAUAAAACGGACAUUUAUAGACACGUGUACAAGAUUGACACACAUAUCUUCCACUACCGUUUUCAGUGGUGUUUCUAUUGCUAUAUCGCAUGCAUGCUUGUUGUUUUUCCAAAUGUCAAAUUAAUAUCAAUACAGUUUUGCUUUCUGAAUUAUAUUUCUUAUUUUGAGCAUCCCUUGUUCUUUUAUAUACCCUUGAGGAGGCUUCAUCUUCUUGUACAAUCACUUUCUGUUGGGUCUUCAAUGUGAUGACAAGGAAAUUGGAUUAUGGCUUUUGUUGUUGUAACUUUUACGCCUGCUUCAUGUGAGGUAUAAGGGAUCUUACAUUAUCAAAGAAUUAGCGCAGCAUUUUUCUUCGCAAGGUGCGUAGCGAAGCUGAAUGUAUCUAGGCAGGAAGCUGAACUUUUUGUCUUUGCAAGAAUCAGCCUAUGCACUAAAGAUUACUUUCAGAGUGACAACUGCUCUUCAUGGUGCCAACCCACACCCAUAGCUCAAGCUUUCAAAUAUUUUUUUCAACAUGCUAACGUUGCAAGCUUCUUGAAGCAAAACUAUGCCUCAAUAAUUCAAUUUAUAAAUAAGCAAUAUCAAGUCAAACAUUGUACUUAUGUGCUACUGCUUACAUAUAUGCAUAUGUACAUUUUUGUAUUUUAUUUCAGAAGAAAAUAUGUGAACAACAGAAAUUUGAUUAUGGUCAAAUAUUGUCAGGGAUCUCUUGAUGGGUUUAUUCCUUGGAGCAGCGCUGUUGAUGAAAACAGAGAUAUUUGUUCUUGGACUCUUGCUCGUCCACUACUUGACAGAUAGUGUCCUGAGAUCUGGCUGUGUGGGGCUGAUGGGUGUUCCAGCAGGCUUUAAGCUGAAUACCAGUUGGCAGAGCUUUUAGGCAUGAUUUCACUUGACGCAAUUCAAAUAUUGUCAACACUUUGGUUCAUUGUGGGAGGCUUCCUAAGGCAAAUAGUUUGGGGUCUUGCAUUUUCUGGGAUCCUUUUUGGUUUAACAGUUCCAGUUUUAUUCUUCAUAGAUGUCAUCCAGCUUGCUACAUUGCAUGUUACGCUGCUUCAAUGGUUGAUCUCUGUGAUAUAUUCAAGACAGAUUCAAACAGUGACAUCAUUGUGGUGUCUUUUCAGGUAAAACCAUGAGUACAUUGUUGCUGGCAUCAUUUAAAUCAUAAAGGACUUAGGGCCUUUUUAGUUUGGAGGAAAAACAAAGGAUUGGAUUCCUAAGGAUUAGUUCUUAUGAAAGCCAUUUGGUUUGUAGAAAUGAAUUAUAGGAAAACCAAAGGAAAAUUUCUUUCUACAAGUUGUAUACAUAGAAAAAUUUCUAUCCACUCAAAACUCUUGGAAAAUUUCUUAUGGAUUGAUGUGGCAUGUAUUUGCAUUUCUCCACCUUUCCUAUUUCUAUAGGUUGAAAUUCCCCCAAAACGUAUAGGCCCCUAAUAUGCUCAUCUAUUUUGUCGAGUGCACAGAUAAAUUUUGAAAUUCUAGUAUUAAUAAGACUUAACACAAAGCACACCCUCUGGUCAUGGAAACAUGUUUUGAAUAUAGACAUUGCCUUCAAAAUGAA